rnacentral:rRNA from 2 species
GGGUUGUGAGGUUAAGCGACUAAGCGUACACGGUGGAUGCCCUGGCAGUCAGAGGCGAUGAAGGGCGUACUAAUCUGCGAUAAGCGCCGGUAAGGUGAUAUGAACCGUUAUAACCGGCGAUACCCGAAUGGGGAAACCCAGUGUGAUUCGUCACACUAUCAUUAACUGAAUCCAUAGGUUAAUGAGGCGAACCGGGGGAACUGAAACAUCUAAGUACCCCGAGGAAAAGAAAUCAACCGAGAUUCCCCCAGUAGCGGCGAGCGAACGGGGAGGAGCCCAGAGCCUGAAUCAGCAUGUGUGUUAGUGGAAGCGUCUGGAAAGGCGCGCGAUACAGGGUGACAGCCCCGUACACAAAAGCGCAUGUGCUGUGAGCUCGAUGAGUAGGGCGGGACACGUGGUAUCCUGUCUGAAUAUGGGGGGACCAUCCUCCAAGGCUAAAUACUCCUGACUGACCGAUAGUGAACCAGUACCGUGAGGGAAAGGCGAAAAGAACCCCGGCGAGGGGAGUGAAAAAGAACCUGAAACCGUGUACGUACAAGCAGUGGGAGC